ACACCUGCCUUUCAGGGGAGAUACCAUGAUCACAAAGGUGGUUUUCCCAGGGCGAGGCUUAUCCAUUGCACUCCGGAUGUGCUGACCCCUGAGAUUUUCCCAAAGGUGGGAAACUCAACUGGAUAACUUGUGAUAGUGGGGGACUACGUUCGUGUGAAAAAUCGUA